CAGUAGCCGCGGUAAUACGGAGGAUCCAAGCGUUAUCCGGAAUCAUUGGGUUUAAAGGGUCCGUAGGCGGUCUUGUAAGUCAGUGGUGAAAGCCCAUCGCUCAACGGUGGAACGGCCAUUGAUACUGCAGGACUUGAAUUAUUGGGAAGUAACUAGAAUAUGUAGUGUAGCGGUGAAAUGCUUAGAGAUUACAUGGAAUACCAAUUGCGAAGGCAGGUUACUACCAAUUGAUUGACGCUGAUGGACGAAAGCGUGGGUAGCGAACAGGAUUAGAUACCCGCGUAGUCCCUGUCUCUUAUAC
rnacentral:rRNA from 1 species